GCAACCUGCCUGUAAGACUGGGAUAACUUCGGGAAACCGAAGCUAAUACCGGAUAGGAUCUUCUCCUUCAUGGGAGAUGAUUGAAAGAUGGUUUCGGCUAUCACUUACAGAUGGGCCCGCGGUGCAUUAGCUAGUUGGUGAGGUAACGGCUCACCAAGGCAACGAUGCAUAGCCGACCUGAGAGGGUGAUCGGCCACACUGGGACUGAGACACGGCCCAGACUCCUACGGGAGGCAGCAGUAGGGAAUCUUCCGCAAUGGACGAAAGUCUGACGGAGCAACGCCGCGUGAGUGAUGAAGGCUUUCGGGUCGUAAAACUCUGUUGUUAGGGAAGAACAAGUACGAGAGUAACUGCUCGUACCUUGACGGUACCUAACCAGAAAGCCACGGCUAACUACGUGCCAGCAGCCGCGGUAAUACGU
rnacentral:rRNA from 2 species